ACACGUAGAAAGUUCAAUUAAUGUGGCACGUAAAUUGCUGUCAUCGAGCCGAGAUAUUCAGGAAACUUUAACUAUAAAACAAAAAAUGUAAGUCAGCUAUAAUUAUAUUAGUCAAGAUGCGAGCGAAUCUGAUGAUAUCAUCGAACGACCCUCGCACGUGAUUCGCCUGCUCAAAGACUCGACGUGAGAAUGAAUUUCUGCCGAAAUGCCAAAAACUUGUUGUUUUUAUUGCUCUUCGAAAGGAAGUCACCCCAAAGUUGUAUGAAAUGAAUUCAUAACUAGCAUUUUCCGCGGACAGUAAUGAAAAAAAUAAAAUAAUUUGCAAGUAUUUGAUAGAGUAUAAUGAGGCAGAACUUCUGAAAAUGGACUAAGCCCGAGAAUGACAAUAAUGAACGUAAGGCAAUUAUUAAAGCAGUCAAGAAAGAAUCAAUUAUUUACAGCCCGUAGGUAUGCAAUGAAAAUAUCAAUAUCAAUGGCACUUGGAUCAUAUUAGACAUAUAUUUUUGUAUGCAUAUAUAGAACAAGAAAUGUAUACUGCAAUACUUAAUAUUAAAUCAUUUAAUUAACUAGCUUUGGCAUUGAAAUAAUCAUUUAUUGAUUCAUAAAUUCAUAAACAAAUUAUUUCAAUUUGCUUCCUUACCAUUAUAACAUUUUGCUAUGUAAAAUGAGUUUGUAUAAAUAGAUUUAAUGAAUAAAAUAAAA